rnacentral:tRNA from 1 species
GCGGAAGUGGCGGAAUUGGUAGACGCACCAGAUUUAGGUUCUGGCGCCGCAACGAUGAGAGUACGCGAAGAUUCUCUCCCAGUUACCGCA